rnacentral:rRNA from 6 species
GGUUGACCUCGGAUCAGGUAGGGAUACCCGCUGAACUUAAGCAUAUCAAUAAGCGGAGGAAA